rnacentral:rRNA from 1 species
UAGGGAAUCUUCGGCAAUGGGGGCAACCCUAACCGUGCAACGCCGCGUGAGUGAAGAAGGUUUUCGGAUCGUAAAGCUCUGUUGUAAGUCAAGAACGGGUGUGAGAGUGGAAAGUUCACACUGUGACGGUAGCUUACCAGAAAGGGACGGCUAACUACGUGCCAGCAGCCGCGGUAAUACGUAGGUCCCGAGCGUUGUUCGGAUUUAUUGGGCGUAAAGCGAGCGCAGGCGGUUUGAUAAGUCUGAAGUUAAAGGCUGUGGCUCAACCAUAGUUCGCUUUGGAAACUGUCGAACUUGAGUGCAGAAGGGGAGAGUGGAAUUCCAUGUGUAGCGGUGAAAUGCGUAGAUAUAUGGAGGAACACCGGUGGCGAAAGCGGCUCUCUGGUCUGUAACUGACGCUGAGGCUCGAAAGCGUGGGGAGCGAACAGG